AUUGAACGCUGGCGGAAUGCUUUACACAUGCAAGUCGAGCGGCAGCGCGGGGGCAACCCUGGCGGCGAGCGGCGAACGGGUGAGUAACAUAUCGGAACGUACCCCGUCGUGGGGGAUAACACAGCGAAAGUUGUGCUAAUACCGCAUACGACCUGAGGGUGAAAGCGGGGGACCGUAAGGCCUCGCGCGAUGGGAGCGGCCGAUAUCGGAUUAGCUAGUUGGUGAGGUAAAGGCUCACCAAGGCGACGAUCCGUAGCUGGUCUGAGAGGACGACCAGCCACACUGGAACUGAGACACGGUCCAGACUCCUACGGGAGGCAGCAGUGGGGAAUUUUGGACAAUGGGGGCAACCCUGAUCCAGCCAUUCCGCGUGAGUGAAGAAGGCCUUCGGGUUGUAAAGCUCUUUCGGCAGGAACGAAACGGUGGUCCUUAAUACGGGCUACUAAUGACGGUACCUGAAGAAGAAGCACCGGCUAACUACGUG
rnacentral:rRNA from 1 species